AAUACAUAUCAAUAAGCGGAGGAAAAGAAACCAACAGGGAUUGCCCUAGUAACGGCGAGUGAAGCGGCAACAGCUCAAAUUUGAAAUCUGGCGUCUUUGGCGUCCGAGUUGUAAUUUGCAGAGGGCGCUUUGGCAUUGGCAGCGGUCCAAGUUCCUUGGAACAGGACGUCACAGAGGGUGAGAAUCCCGUACGUGGUCGCUAGCCUUUACCGUGUAAAGCCCCUUCGACGAGUCGAGUUGUUUGGGAAUGCAGCUCUAAAUGGGAGGUAAAUUUCUUCUAAAGCUAAAUACUGGCCAGAGACCGAUAGCGCACAAGUAGAGUGAUCGAAAGAUGAAAAGCACUUUGGAAAGAGAGUUAAAAAGCACGUGAAAUUGUUGAAAGGGAAGCGCUUGCAGCCAGACUUGCCUGUAGUUGCUCAUCCGGGUUUUUACCCGGUGCACUCUUCUACGGGCAGGCCAGCAUCAGUUUGGGCGGUUGGAUAAAGGUCUCUGUCAUGUACCUCCUCUCGGGGAGAUCUUAUAGGGGAGACGACAUGCAACCAGCCUGGACUGAGGUCCGCGCAUCUGCUAGGAUGCUGGCGUAAUGGCUGUAAGCGGCCCGUCUUGAAACACGGACCAAGGAGUCUAACAUCUAUGCGAGUGUUUGGGUGUCAAGCCCGAACGCGUAAUGAAAGUGAACGGAGGUGGGAACCUUUCGGGGUGCACCAUCGACCGAUCCUGAUGUCUUCGGAUGGAUUUGAGUAAGAGCAUAGCUGUUGGGACCCGAAAGAUGGUGAACUAUGCUUGAAUAGGGUGAAGCCAGAGGAAACUCUGGUGGAGGCUCGCAGCGGUUCUGACGUGCAAAUCGAUCGUCAAAUUUGGGCAUAGGGGCGAAAGACUAAUCGAACUAUCUAGUAGCUGGUUCCUGCGAGU
rnacentral:rRNA from 1 species